UCUCCUUCUGGUCUUUGUGCAAAUUGCUAUUUUUUUUUUUUUUCUGGUGAAAUAAACCAUCUUGGUUGUCUUAAGAGUACAAGGAAUAGAUCUCAUCUUCAGUUAAUUACAUCGCAAGUCCGUUUUCCUAGUCCUCUGGAUAUAGUUUUAUAAAACACUCUACUCUUCAUAACUAUGAACUGUUUGAAGGAGGCGCUUGCCGAUUAUUUUAUCAACUCUGUUGAUUUUACUCUGAGAAGUGACAUAAUACGAGGGUAUGCUAGUUGGCUACCAGAAUGCAUUCCUUUUUUGUAAUUUUAAUAGAGUAUAUCUAGGCACCUGGCUGUCUUGCUACAAACUUUUUCAGCUUCUUUGCAGCCAGGUGUAGAUCGCAUGACUAAAAUCUUGUCAGUGGAAUGUGAGUGAAGGCUGAUUCCAGAUCUAGGCCUUCAAAUUGUUGGAUGUGUGUUUCCCUCAGGAGCGAUUUUCCUUCCCAACAGGUCCCAGAGAGCCCAUCAUUAAAAAUCCAUACGAGGACAGCACCCCAGAGGACGGUAGAGCCACGAUAUGGCAGGAAGGACUCUGAGGAGCAGAGCACCCGGCUGCCUGACUGCUAACCGUGAGGCUGCAAACUCCCUAUGUCAUUUGAAGCUAGUAUCUUGAAGGAGAAUUAGGCAAAAGAAAAAGAUACCAGGAUGCUUUUCCAGCCAGUGUUUCCAUAUCAUCAUGACUUCCAUGAUGGCUCUCAACGUCCUUUUAAGAAAGAAAACAAGAACAAAAAGCAAAGCAAAAUGAAAAACAAUAGACUGGAAAGAGCUUAUAUCCAUUUUUCCAGGAUGGAAACCAACCCACCAAGAACUGGAUCUUUUUAUUCUGCAAUUUAAACCAACUAAUAAAUAAAUGUUCUGUUAUGUCUCACACAAUGUAAGUGGUAGGAGACAACAAACUGGUAACAA